UUGCAACCACAUCACAUUGAGACACCGGUUCCCGUUAGAUCACACAAAUUAAGCAACACCGAGCCUGGUUAGUACCUAGAUGGGUGACCGUUUGGAAAUGCCAGGUGCU